UACGUAGGGUGCGAGCGUUAAUCGGAAUUACUGGGCGUAAAGCGUGCGCAGGCGGCGCGUUAAGACAGGUGUGAAAGCCCCGAGCUUAACUUGGGAAUUGCGCUUGUGACUGGCGAGCUGGAGUGUGGCAGAGGGAGGUGGAAUUCCACGUGUAGCAGUGAAAUGCGUAGAGAUGUGGAGGAACACCGAUGGCGAAGGCAGUCCCCUGGGCCUGUACUGACGCUCAUGCACGAAAGCGUGGGGAGCAAACAGG
rnacentral:rRNA from 1 species